CACGUAGGGGGCAAGCGUUGUCCGGAAUUAUUGGGCGUAAAGAGCUCGUAGGCGGCUCGGUAAGUCAGGUGUCAAAUCCUCAGGCUCAACCUGGGGCUCCACCUGAUACUGCUGUGGCUAGAGUCCGGUAGGGAGCGUGGAAUUCCUGGUGUAGCGGUGAAAUGCGCAGAUAUCAGGAGGAACACCAGCGGCGAAGGCGGCGCUCUGGGCCGGAACUGACGCUGAGGAGCGAAAGCGUGGUAGCAAACAGG
rnacentral:rRNA from 1 species